rnacentral:rRNA from 1 species
UUUAAGGUCUAACCUGCCCAAUGAGGAUUUAAAUGGCCGCAGUAUUUUGACUGUGCAAAGGUAGCAUAAUUAUUAGUUUUUUAAUUGAAAGCUUGUAUGAAGGGUUGGACGAGAUGAAAUCUGUCUUUAUUUAAAUUAAGAUAUAAUUUAACUUUUAAGUAAAAAGGCUUAAAUGUUUAUAAAAGACGAGAAGACCCUAUAGAUCUUUAUUUAAUUAAAAUUUUAAUAAUUUAGGAUUAUUUUAAUUUAAAGUUUUAAUUAAAUUUUAUUGGGGUAAUAUAAAGAUUAAAUAAAUUCUUUUUAUUUAUAACAUUGAUUUAUGAAUAUAUGAUCCAUUAAUAUUGAUUAUAAGAUUAAGUUACCUUAGGGAUAACAGCGUAAUUUUUUUGGAGAGCUCAUAUCGAUAAAAAAGUUUGCGACCUCGAUGUUGGAUUAAAAAUUAGCUUGGGUGCAGAAGCUCAAGAUUUUGGUCUGUUCGACCAUUAAAUUUUUACAUGAUCUGAGUUCAGACCGGCGUGAGCCAGGUCGGUUUCUAUCUUUAUUAAGAUAAAAUAUUUUAGUACGAAAGGACCAAAUAUUUAAUAUAAUUAUAUUUAUUUUUUGAAGAAUAUU